AUACGAAGGGGGCUAGCGUUGUUCGGAAUUACUGGGCGUAAAGCGCGCGUAGGCGGACUGAUCAGUUGGGGGUGAAAUCCCAGGGCUUAACCCUGGAACUGCCUCCAAUACUGUCAGUCUUGAGUUCGUGAGAGGUGAGUGGAAUUCCUAGUGUAGAGGUGAAAUUCGUAGAUAUUAGGAAGAACACCAGUGGCGAAGGUGGCUCACUGGCCCGAUACUGACGCUGAGGCGCGAAAGCGUGGGGAGCAAACAGAAUUAGAAACCCGAGUAGUCC
rnacentral:rRNA from 1 species